UAUUUAAUAGUUUAAUAAAAAUAUUAAAUUGCAAAUUUAAUGAUGAUUAAUAAUCUUAAAUAU
rnacentral:tRNA from 1 species